AUAGUUCUUCGGGGCGGGGUGCAAGUCCCCACCGGCAGUAAAGUCUGCGAGCUGAAACUGGCUGAUCCGGUGUAAUUCCGGAACCGACGGUAUAGUCCGGAUGAGAGAAGGGUAUU
rnacentral:ncRNA from 2 species